AGAUGCUUUGAAACACUGAAAUGUUCUUCUUUCCUUUUUAAAGUAUCCUGCCACCUUUAAGACUGGAUAAUCCAUGUCUAAACUACAAGACCAAGCUGAAAUUUUUAUUACUGUUAUGGAACCUGUCUUGAAGUAUCCCCGAUCAAGUUAAUCAAUCUGUAUUUCACCUAUGAUAUGAAGAUAUAUAUAUAUAUAUAUAUAUACACACUUAUCCUGUACUAAAGGGGUAGAAAUGCUAUAAAAAAAUCAUGAAAUCAGUCAACAAAUUUGGAUUAUGAGUAGCAACUUAUAUGAGUAAUUAUAUAAAUAUUGUUAUAACUUUUCUAAAUGGACUGUGGUUAUAUGAGAGAAUAUCCAAAUUGUUAGGAAAUGCACAUAGAAAUAUUUAUAGGUAAAGCACCAUGAUAUAUGCAACUAACCAUCAGAUAUUUCAAACAUUAUGCAGAUACAAGUCUAUUUACAGUGAGUGUGAGAGAGUGUGUACAAGCAAAUAAGUGAUAGAGAAAAUGGGGCAAAAUAUUAACAAUGGCUGAGUGUGAAUAAAAGAUAUAAUGAUAUUUCUUAAAAUAUUUGUAUUUGUACAACUUUUUAUGUUUGAAGUUAUUUUUAAAUAAAAUUUACAAAUGUCCAACUUAGUUUCGAAAUGAAAAACUUUUUAAGCACUCAAGAUUCAGGUUAUUGAACGCCUGCAGCUUUUCUAGGUGCAGAGUGCAAGAUACCAGUGGAUCUACCAUUCUGGGGUAUGGAAGACAGCAGCCCCCUUUCCGCAGUUCCACUAGGUAGUGUGGAGCCAAGCUCCUUGCUAAGGCAUCACAUAUGUGACCUUUUCUCCAUUCUUAAUAAAUUUCUCAUUUUUAUCUGAGACCUCAGAAGCCUGGACUUCACUGUCCAUAUCACUGUCACUAUUUUGGUUACAGCCAUUUAACCAGUCUCUAAAAGUUCCAACUUUCCCUCAACUUUCUUUCUUCAUCUGAGCCAUCUAAAGUCUUUCAACCUCUGUCCAUUACCUAGUU
rnacentral:lncRNA from 1 species